rnacentral:rRNA from 1 species
UUGCUGGCGACCGGCGCACGGGUGAGUAACACGUAUCCAACCUGCCGAUGACUCGGGGAUAGCCUUUCGAAAGAAAGAUUAAUACCCGAUGGCAUAGUUCUUCCGCAUGGUAGAACUAUUAAAGAAUUUCGGUCAUCGAUGGGGAUGCGUUCCAUUAGGUUGUUGGCGGGGUAACGGCCCACCAAGCCUUCGAUGGAUAGGGGUUCUGAGAGGAAGGUCCCCCACAUUGGAACUGAGACACGGUCCAA